UACGAAGGGGGCUAGCGUUGCUCGGAAUUACUGGGCGUAAAGCGUGCGCAGGCGGUUGGUUAAGUCUGAUGUGAAAGCCCCGGGCUCAACCUGGGAAUGGCAUUGGAAACUGGCUGGCUAGAGUGUGGCAGAGGGGGGUGGAAUUCCGCGUGUAGCAGUGAAAUGCGUAGAGAUGCGGAGGAACACCGAUGGCGAAGGCAGCCCCCUGGGCUAGCACUGACGCUCAGGCACGAAAGCGUGGGGAGCAAACAGG
rnacentral:rRNA from 1 species